rnacentral:tRNA from 1 species
GGCAUUGUGGCCGAGUGGUUAAGGCGAUGCACUCGAAUUUCUUCGGGCUAUGCAUUGGGCUCUGCCCGCGCAGGUUCGAAUCCUGCUGAUGUCGUCA